GUGCUUACCUCAGCACACAUAUACUAAAAUUGGAACAAUACGGAGAAGAUUAGCAUGACACCUGCUCAGCGACUUCAUACAGAUUCUGGAAAUAGUCCAUAUUUUU
rnacentral:snRNA from 1 species